rnacentral:lncRNA from 1 species
UUUGUCAGUUGACAAAGCGAAUGGCCUCAACCAUUUGAGGACAUGGUCCCGCUGUGCACAACGCUCCUGUUGAACCAGCCAAGAGCACCUUGAGGUGUGGAGGCCCAGACACUGGGCUGGUGCUGAGAGGCUGCAGCAGGAGGAUGGAUAUUAGGGAUGCUGGAUGGAGCCCCAGAUUGGACAGGGGUGCGUGAGGGCUCUAAACGGUGGAUUCUACUGGGAAGCCGGUGGUGACAGGGUGAGAGCCAAGGCUCAAUGACCCAGCCAUGUGUUCUAAGGCAUGGGAGGAUGACUUAAAUCCAGGUAACAGUAAUGGGAUCCAGAAACAACAGAAAAGUUAUGGCCCAUACAUCUUCAAUUGCAAUUACAGAAGGAAGUUUGCAAAGCCUUGGUGGAGGACUCUCUGAAGAAGGGCAAACAGUCCCCAAGGGGGAGGAGCUGCUUGCUGCAGGAACGCUGUCGCCAGCAAUUAUUAGUUCACUCCUGCUGGAUCUGUCCUAGAGGCCUCCCGUGCACAAGAAUGUGAAGACUGUUGGCAGCUGCUAGCUGGAGAAGCCCUGAUCCACCUCAAGGGACGAAGGUGGGACUCUCACAAGGUUGCUCCCUGACUCCCACCCUCACCCCUGCUCUUGGAAGAAAGAAUGCCUGCUUUCUUUUCAGCCUGGGUUCCAGCUGGGAUGCCUAGGGUGCAGUGUUCCAGAGAUGGUGGCUGGUCUUGGAGAAGGGAUAGAAGUUAGGCUAGAAGACUGGAACUUAUGCAAAUCAAGCUCAAGGGUGACUCAAGGAGAGCUUAACCCCUGCCUGUGUCCCCCUUCUCCUCAAUAGAGCCUGAUAGGACACCUUGCAAAGAAAGAAAAAGACUCCCAGGAAAACAUCCUUUAUGUUAAGUUGCCCAGGAGGGUUUGUGUGUUUGUAUGGGGAGGGCGAAGGAGACUUUCCCUCUGAAGCAAUUUCUUGCGAAAAUGGUCCACGAGUUGAAAUGCCUUUGGGGCAGAGAGGAUUAUCGGGAAGAAAAGCUGGUUCAGGAAACAGAACUGGGUUAAUGGCUGCAUUAGGUUUAGGCACAAGCCAAGCGAUUCUUCUGAGGUCUAGAGGUCUCUAGAACUUUUAUUUGGAAGAGUCAGGCUAUUUUGGGCUUCUGCACUGAAUGAUCCCAGGGGCUAUCGUUCUUCUUCACAUAGAUUAUUCAAUUAGGGGUAACCUAGGACACUAUAGAGACACGCACCAUUCCACAUGCCCACUUUCUUGUAUGAUAAAUCAUGAAUUCUCAGGUGCUAAAGUCACCGGAUUUCCCUGGUUUAAAACUUUCUCUUUUUGCCCCCUCCCAACCCACCAAACCUGCUUUGCUUUCCUUAGCAUAACUGACUACCAUAGAGAUAACUGGGAUUAUUCUCUUAGAGAGGCUUCCCAAACCCUUAAGGAAAACAGAGUAACACAGUGAGAGGGCCUGAUGAGACCUGGGGUGCCAUGGAAGCCAUGAUUACAAACCCGGGAGUUUGAUUUAUUUCUUAAAUUCAGACAUGAAGGCUAUUCGGUGUGGCAUGGAUUUUCUAUUUCUCCCCAAGUCCAGGAUUCCAUGCUAUUUCACAGUUACCUGCUUACGUCAGUCAAUUUACUUGUCUGCUUCAAGGUAGGUGGGUACAUCUUGGACUGAUGGAACACCAGGUAAUGGCCUCACUUUAAAAACGGAG